rnacentral:lncRNA from 1 species
UGCAAUCGGGGUAUGUUACAACAAUAAUUACGGGCUGUCAACCUGUGUAAGGUUUCAAAUAUUAGCAAGAAGAGCUACUUCAUUUCUGCUAUUGUGUCUUAUAGAAUCAAAACUUACUAGUCAAAAUUUGCAGGAAUGUCAAUUUCAGUUUUGGAAGCAUUUCCAAUAUCAACUAGAGUUUCCUGCAGAUCAAAAAUUUCAGUGACAAAAUGCACUCUAAUCAUUUCGACUAAAAAGAUUCCAAAAAAUCUCUCAUGAAUAAUAUUAAGGAAAACAGUGAUAAUAAAGCUGUGCAAUAGUGAAAUAACUCCCAAACUACUCUUAC